rnacentral:lncRNA from 1 species
GUCAAAACCCAAAAUAUAGGUGCCAUCAUUAAGGACAACAAGUUAUUCUACAACACAAACUCCCAAGUGAUCAACCCAAGGUUCAUCACUAUAUGCUUUAUGUAAACCGUUUCUGUAGCGAUUGUAGCGAAAUACGCAAAUGCCCAUAAUAUGCAAUAAAAGUAAAAGCGGAAUCACUAGCUACAUACUCAAUAGUACCACCCAAAAUGAUCAAAAGAGACAUAAAUGUGAGCUUUAAAGGACAAGGCUGCCUCUUAAAGGUUGUAUAAGCCAAGGCAACCAAAAGAGGUUUCAAUGAUCUAAACACUAUGAAAGUCUCCACAUUGGCAUGGUUCAUGAAAGUUUUGGUAAAUGAUUUACAUGUUGUGUGUUAAUGCAAUUAUACAUAAAAGUUGGUUGAUUUCUUAGUUACAUGGAUUACAUGGUUAAACAUGUAUAUAAUUGUCAUUUGAGGUGCCUAAGGGCAUAUUAGUUGUAUGUGAAUAUACUAUAUGUUUAAGACCUGAAAUUGCUUGUUUUAAAUGCCAUAAUAUGGCUUGUUUAUAUGCAUAAUGUUGAUUGUAGGUUCACACCAAAUUGAGUGAGAAAUAUGGGUUGUAAAAUGGCCUAUUUUCGUCCACACGGGCAGAGACACGAGCGCGUGUCUCAGCGAUGUGUGAUACAUGGCCAGGUGACAUGGCCGUGUGUCUCCUUUAUCUUUUAAAGAGUGGAAGUUAAUAUAUUCAUACGGCUUGGCACACAGGCGUGUGGCCAAGCUUGAGAGUUACAUGGGCACGGGCACGAGCUGGGACACGUGCAUGUCUAUUGACCGUGUGAGUCACACGACCGUGUGAACCCUGCAGCUUUGAAAAUUUUUAAGUGUUUCCGAAAAAUUUUCUAAGUUUCUAAUUUAUUCCUGAUUUGUUUCUAAUAUGUAUUUUGGGCCUCGAGGGCUCGUAUAAGAGACAAUAUGUAUGAUUUUGAUCGGUUUUUGACAUGAAUGUUAUGUUAUAUGAAAUGUUGAAAUUUCUAUCUGUUUGAUCUGUAAACUCCGGUAAUGUUUCGUAACCCGGUUCCGGUGAGGGAUACGGGUUGGGGGUGUUACAGGCCCUCCUUUUGAUGCCACUUGACACGUGCCCUCCAAGCAUGGUGCCGCCAGUGAGUGCCCAUCCACCUUUUUUUACUCGUAAAAACUCGUAUUUUACCCGGUAUAGGUGCUUGAUACCGGCGUCGCCAUAUAUGACCCUUCAACCAUUUAAAUAUUCUUUUAAAACAAAUUAUGGGCUAAUGAUGGAAAUGAUAAGGCAAAAAAAAUGUGUGGUGUCGCCACCCUUUCGAGCACCACCUCUCAGCACUGUUCAUUUCAUACUAUUUUUGUAAAUAAUGCCAUGAGGAUACUAUUUUGGUAUUAAAAUUUUUUUUUGUAUUAUCAGAGUAAAAAAGUCUAUUAUUUUGCUAUUAUAUUAUUACUAUUUUGUUGUUAUUUUCUUGAUAUUGUAUAACUCCUAUUUUAUUAUUAAUUUUACUACUAUUUUAAAAGUAUUUACUUGCUAAGUUGCAUAUAUUUUAGUAUUAUUUAAGUUUUUUUAAUAUUCUCUAUUUAUUGGGAAACAUUUAUUUUAAUGGUUAGAAGCAAGUCAAUGAAGAUUGUAUCAAUUUUAGGAUUAAAUUAUAAUAUUAUCAUAUACUAAUUUAUUUAUUUUAUAAAAUUUAUAGCACCAAACAUGCCAUUUUUCAUGGAUGGAGAAAAGUGAGAUAUGGGAAGACAGUUGCAAAAUUUAUGGGAAGAUAUCCUUUUUUAAAAAUAUAUUAAUUGAUAAUGAAAUAAAAAAUAUUUGGAUAAAUUAUCUAAUUGGUGAUCCAAUUCUUUGGACGUUUUUAUUUUAAUUACUGAAAUUUAAAAAAAAAAACUUAUAAUUUAAUCACUACCCAUUAAAAUUUUUCGACAAACUUUUCCACCAAUCAAAAUUCUCCUUCAUUCUUCUUUUUCUUUUUUGGUCAUAUUUCUUUGUCCUCCUUCUUUUCUAACCCAACUUUGUUCCCUUCCCAUGCCCCUGUUUCCAACACCCGACUCGACCAUAUCACCCCACACCAAUUCCUGAUAACUAAAGACGUCUUCCCCUGCUCUAGAACUACCCUCUAUUGUGUUAUAUACAUCUCAUCAUUGUUUGAAUUAUCUCAUUGAAGUUGUGCUGGUGGAGGCUGCAUUUCCAUUUUUGGUUCUUGUUCUUGCUUUGAACUUGAUGGACAUUGAAACCACCAAAAAUAAUUUCUACAAUUAAAAUAACUAUAAAUAGUAGUAAAUAGUGGUAGUAGGGUCGAGUCCACAGUGAUUGAUAUUAUAAUCAACUUUUGCGUUUAACUUGUGAUCAGAAUUUCUGUUGUGUCGAUAAUCGGGGCAAUAGUCGUGCCCACAACUCCAAACGAACCUGCUGAAAAAUAAAUAAAUAAAUCAAGAGAGUUUUGAAAUGUUUAGAAAUUAAAUAAUUGAAAUAGCAUAAUAAACAAUUAAAUAAAUUGGAAAUAAAAUUAAAUUGGGAAUUAAAUUCGGAUUUUGUAAACAGAGAUAAUAAUCUUUAGCCCUAGACUCGGUGGAUUCUGAAUUUUGAAUCGAUCCUCGAAAAUUAAUUUUUUCCUCCAAACAAUAAGCUGGUUAUAACAGUUAAGAACGCCAGAACCGCCAAUAUUUUCUCUUGUAGUUGAUUCUGGUACAACCUGCAAACCAACCAUUACCGAUUAUCUAACCGAGAUACACGCAUUUUCGAUUCAAAUUCUGACAGCCUUGUGUUUUGAAGAACCUAACUUGGAUUAACGGCAUCAACUGCACGGGUCGUUUAAACCCGAUCACUUCUCCUUUGAUUUGUUCUCGGAGAUCCGAAUACAGCAUGGCUAACUCAUUUCCCCAACUGUCCACAAACAUGACUCCAACCCAACGCCCUUUUUUAUUUGAAAUCGAGUUAAAUUUAAAAAAUGAAUUUGUUAAUUUCGAUACUUAAGAAAAUAGUGAAUAUCGAUUGAAAGGAUUUUUAGUAUGGAUACGUAUCUCACGAUUCCUAACCGGAAAGAAUGCCAACCUAAAGUUAAAUUACAAUUUAGUGAAGCAUGGAUUUAAUCAUGCUUGGGUUGGCUAUAGAGUGGAUUUGAAUGAAAAUAGUGGAAGUUGGGAAGGGAAGAGACUUGGAAAGCAAUUAAUUUUUUUUUGCAAAAAUAAAGAAAUGGAAAUGAAAGUAGCACUAGCUUUCGAGGGAUUUACCCUGAUUUUUACGCCUGAGUUUUAUGGCUUUUAGGGUUUAGGGUACAGGCUUUUUAGGAGUUAGGGGUCCAGGAAAAUUUUUUUUCGAGUUGACGUUUCUGGUUAAAUAGUGGGAAAUCGCUUCUACUAGGAUGCUAUUUAAGAAGAAAUUGUGAAAUAGUGGCCUCGUGGACGCAAUUUUGCUACAGUGGUCAUGUGAGAAAUAAAUUUUUUUGACAUUUGCUGAGGAAAUAGUAUAAAAUCGCUGAUACCAGGAUGCUAUAUGAGAAGAAAUUAUGAAACCGCGCCCUCGUGGACGCGAUUUCGCUACAGUUGGUCAUGUAGGAAAUAAUUUUUUUUGACGUUUAUGAGCAAAUAGUGUCAAAUCGCGCCCUCGUGGACGCGAUUUCGCUACAGUAGUAAGUUUGGGCUGAGGCUAUAAAUUAGGCAGAGAAUUUUCUUAGAAUGCAUAACUCAGAGCAGAAACAUUUUAGGUUAGGGUUAGGGAAUUUAGAGUUUCGAAAUGAGUGAACGUAUUAGUGCUGUUAUUUACUACGAUGGUGAGGUUUGCCACACCGAGAAUGGUGUUGUUUUUUUGUCGGAGAAUACGAUGCGACUGUCAUUUAGCGAAAACAUAGAUUUGACAGAACUCCGUAAAAGAAUUAGGCGUAAAAUCUUCGGAACCACGCCAAUGAAAGUUCAGUCAAUGACGUAUCAAUUUUGUUCUUCUGUUGAUCCGGUGACAUAUGACUCGUUCGACAUAAAAGGUGCUCGUAGCUUGGAGGCAAUGGUGUAGACUCAUCUUGCUAGCGGAACAACUUAUAUUGAGUUAUAUGUACAAUUUACGUCACCAAAUGAUGUAUUUUCGUCCGGUGUUCGAGAUGUAUACACGACCCCUGGCUGACACUCAGUUAGCGUGUUACAAAAUACGGAACAGCCCAUGUUCGGUAGCGGUGUCGAAUGCACAUCCCCCAAGACACUCUGUCGGUGGAUGGGACAUGUACGUCGGUGGCUCGACGGUUGACGCUGGAAAUACGAGCUGGAGAACCGCAUCAAGUUCUACUGGAUGGCAAUCUACAUCCAAUUGGGGGCGUUAUCAAAUGCCCAGAAAAGGGAUGACGUACUACCUACGACAUCAACCGGUGAGGGGACGUCGUACGCUGCAGAUGAUUGUGGGUUAGAAGGUGAGUCCGAUGUGGAUCCACCUCAAGAGCCCGGGUCGGAUGGUGCAGAGGUGGGAUUAUUUUCUGAACCGGAGUCUAUUCCAAUAGAAGGUGAAGAUGGUGAUAUGAGUGCCGAUGGUGAUAUGCGACCCCUCCUGGGCCGAUGGCCUAGUUAUCGGUGGUCCGCUCGGUAUUACAGGAAAUGGAGCUGAUCCGGGUAUUUGGCUCCAACCUGCCAUAGGAUUCGGAAAAGGAUACAUGUACGGGUUAGGGUACAUAUAAGGGCUAGGAAACAUACCUGGCAUCAUAGGGAAAGGUGAAUGCGUGGGUAUCAUCUGUUGAAUUGCUGCGCCAGGUGACUGCGUUGGUGCUCUCGUUGGGGACGAUGAUUGCAUGGUCGCUGAUGAUGAACCGGGUGAAUGUCUGGGCCUCGUUGAGGGGCUGCCCUCGUAGUUUUGUCCCCUUGGAUUUUAAGGCCCGCGCCUUUCCCUUCCGACACGUAUUUGCCGCCGCCUCUCCUCCGGCGUAAGUAAAUACGGCUUCCCAUGGGCCCUAAACCAUGGCAUGUAUUCUGGAAUGCACGCUAACUCGGGAACGAUGAUUGGUUCCCGAGUAGGUAGAUAUUCAUUCCGAUUUUCCCACAUUUCUGUGUACACUGACCAGUACAACGGCCAAUCCGUACCUAAUAGCCGAAGGUCGAUUUUGUGGUGCUCGUCAAACUCCUCAGGGUCCGCAGGGAUCGGUUGUCUACAUCCAAACUGUCGUAGGACUCUGUCUGUCUGGUAGGGCUCCACGGUUGCAUAGUUGAUCAACACCACUUUCACGUGCCAAGCGUUCGGAUUUUNNNNNNNNNNNNNNNNNNNNNNNNNNNNNNNNNNNNNNNNNNNNNNNNNNNNNNNNNNNNNNNNNNNNNNNNNNNNNNNNNNNNNNNNNNNNNNNNNNNNNNNNNNNNNNNNNNNNNNNNNNNNNNNNNNNNNNNNNNNNNNNNNNNNNNNNNNNNNNNNNNNNNNNNNNNNNNNNNNNNNNNNNNNNNNNNNNNNNNNNNNNNNNNNNNNNNNNNNNNNNNNNNNNNNNNNNNNNNNNNNNNNNNNNNNNNNNNNNNNNNNNNNNNNNNNNNNNNNNNNNNNNNNNNNNNNNNNNNNNNNNNNNNNNNNNNNNNNAUAAAAUUUACCUCGUUACGAGUGGGAAUGUAUAUGGGUGAUUCACUCGAGGACGUAGAAAUGGAAAGCGAAACCGUGCCCAUGAUUGCAGUAGUGACAGGCAACCUCCGAUUUUUGCUCUCCUCGGUUUGGUCGCCCCGCACAUCUCCCGAUAUAAUGUUGCCAAGACGGCAGACCCCCAACUAAAUUCACCGGCUGCUUUAAAAUCAACGAGUUUUAGCAGCCACCUUAGAUGUACACGGCUCCGUGAUGUGUCGGCCAUGAGAUAGCCUCCAAUUAUUUGAAGAAUGUAUGAUCGAGCAUAUCGGAUUCUUUCAAUCUCGGUUGAAUUUUCAUUCAGACCGAGAAAGGUGGCACGUAACCAGCCCAUCUCCACCUUACCUCCAUCCAUUUUAUCCGGAACGGCGCCCAAAAGCUCGUAGCACACCGCCUCCCAAUUGCUAGAUUGGGCAGACCCGGUCACUGGGUGCCCAUCCACCGACAAUCCCAAAUGCAGAUGGACAUCUUCCAGAGUGAUAGUGCACUCUCCACAUGGAAGAUGAAAUGUGUGCGUCUCAGGUCUCUACCUCUCGAUCAACGCACUGAUCAGUUUCGGCUCCAACUUGCAUCCCCGGCCUACCGUCGCCACGUGCCAAAAUCCCGCUUCCCGCAGGUAGUUCUCUACUAAAUGUGAUGGAGCAUGCAUAUUCCGAAUAUUGCAUUCCAAUACCCGAUCUUCAGCCUUUUAUAACAAAAAAAUAUAUUAAUAAAUAUCUAAAAAUACAUAAAUAAAAAUAUCUUAAAAAAAUUUAAAAUUUAAAUUUAAUACUUACCAUGUUCAUUUGCUCCACCGAUAUGUGAUUCCUAUCAAGACGAAUCAAUGAUCCGACCAUUGUUGAAAAUAUUAAAAAUUUUAAAAUUAUUUAAAAAAAAUAAAAAAUUUUAAAAUUUUCUUAAAAAAAUGAAAUUUAAUGGAAAAAGAAAUUUAAUAUGGAUUUGGAGAUUUUUUGAAGGAAAUUGAGAGGAUUUUGGAAGGAAUUUGAGAGUUUGAGAGAAUUUUGGAAGGAAAUUGAUAGAAAUUUUGAAGGGAAUUGAGAGAAAUUUUGAAAGGAAUUGAGAGAAUUUUUGAAAGAAGUUGAUAUUGAAUUUGUUUGUGAAAAUAAAAGGGGUGGGGGGUUUAUAUAGUAAAAAAAAUUUGACCUUUGGGGGGGGCAACGGUCAAUUUUUUGACCGUUGGGCACUGUUCACGCGCGCGUCCACAUCGCGUCCACGUCAGCAGGUUGCGCUGACGUGGACGCGACCUUCUGCCCAGUCCCCUGACAUCGCUCCGACGUGGCGCGAUUUUAGGGGAAAUGGCCCAAUCCGGUAAAUAAUUAAAAAACCGACCUAUUUCGGUAAUUUUAUAAAAAAAUCAGCUUUUUUUGGUAAAUCCCUCCUAGCUUUCGUCGCAUUAAUUUAGAAGGAAAAUAAUAAUUCUUAUUUAAUUCCAAGUGAAAUUAAGUGUCUUUUCAAGAUACCACAAAUGCCCUAUAUAUAUAUAUAUAUAUAUACAAUUUAUUAAAUUUGACCUAACUACCCACUACACAUAAUUAAAAUUAAAUAAAAAUAAAAUUAGAUUUUCUUCUUAUUUUAGCUUUUAUUAAGUCAAAAGAAAUCUAAUGAGUCUUUGAUUAUUUUCAAGUUUUUGAUUUGGUCCCACUUUAUUGACUGUGCUGCAAAUGGGUCCUUUUUUGCCCUUUUUUGACUCAGCCUUCCAAUUGCAUUCCCAUCAAGAUUAAAACAUAAAAUCACUAAUUUAGCAAGGAUCAAUUCAAGACUUCACCUAUUUAAUCACAAAAAAUAAUACAAAUUUAACAUGUUAUAAGAACUUUCAUGGGAAAACAACCUCAUUGUAUUAUCCGGUCAAAACCCAAAAUAUAGGUGCCAUCAUUAAGGACAACAAGUUAUUCUACAACACAAAACCCCAAGUGCUCAACCCAAGGUUCUUCACCUAAUAUAAACCGUUUCAGUAGCGAUGGUAGCCAAAUACGCAAAUGCCCAUUGUAACAGGUCAAUUUUGACCUGGGUCUAAAGACCCAAAACUAAUAAAAACAAAUCCAAUCCAGAUACACAGCCCAAAUUUUAAAACCAUAACGGCCCAAUAUGGCCCAAAAUCCAAAUUAGCCCUAACCCAAAAAUACACAAUCAGAGAAACCUUAGGGUUUCACUAAACCUUCUGGCGCCGCAUCCGAACCCUGCCGCCGUACAUAUUCUGCAGCCUGCCCCAUGUGCGCCCUCGGCGCGCACACCGCCCAAAGCCUGGCAGCCUUGCACCAAAAAGAAAAAAGCCGUGAACUCCGCCCUCGUCAACGUCUCCAGCUGGCCGAACCUGCAAGAAAAAGAAAGAAAGGACCACAAAAGCAAAAAAACAGCAACAGAGAACAAAAAACAGUAGUGUUUAAUCGGCUAUAAGAGCCGAAUGAAAUGUAAUGAAAAGGGGGAUUUUUGGUAUCGAAAGAUUCAGAAAAUAAAAAUGAAAAAAAACUUUGAGGUGAUUCCGAUUUUUUUAUUUCUGUGAUUGUGUUGUUUUUUUAUUUUUAUUUUUCGUUUUGUUUCUAAAUACAAAAAAUAAAAAGGGAAAAGGAAAAGCACCUAGGUUCGCCCGUGGGUCUUGUCGCCGGAAUCCUCUUCCUCGUCGCUGAGGUUGGGCCGCGUGAGGGCGUGAGGUUUUCUUUUCUUUCGGCCGUUGAGGCCUAGGAGGCUUGACCUUCUAAUUUUUUUAAAAAAAGAUUAAAAAAGGGGUAGAUUUCGCGUGGCUUCGACUGCCGCUUACGGCGACACUUUGAUGGCAACAUGCCGGAGCCGGCCACUAGGGUCUGAAACCCAGAGGAAAAAUGAAAGGAAGAAAUUUAAAAAAGGGGAGGGCGGCU